rnacentral:lncRNA from 1 species
GCUACAUGCAUGAGCUCAGUGGCUUAGAGAGGAGGUGGGUGUGUGCUGUGACUUCUCAAAUACCCUCCCUUCCUUCCUUCUGCUUUGCCCUCUUUGAUGAGGGUGGGGAGGGGAAAGGCUCUUCCUAGGUGUCCUUUUCUUAUCUCUUUUCCAAUGGUUGUACAUUGAUGGACCUCGUUGAUCUUGGCUUUGGUAUGGAGGAAUGGAAACCCUAACAUGACCCCAAGGGCCUGUUGAUGGAACUUGGCCACUUCUGAGUUUUGCGAGCCUGGACCACGUAUUUCAGAUACCCUCCGCUGGACUCCUCAUGCCACAUUUCUCUGAUGUCUCCUUAGUUUGGCCCAUGCCGUUGGGUUAGCCGCAGCCCCAGUCAGGUUAACUUGCAGCCCCAGUCUCCAUACUUCUUGGCCUCAUCACUGGACCUACAGAUGCAGGUAGCUCCAUCGUUAGUUUUUCUGGUAACUGGCACCAAUCUUCCCUCGGUUAUUGCUGCCUGGGGUUAGGAAGUUUGGGUAGGUUGGAAAGCCCAAGGACUAAGAAACCAACCAAACAACCUGUUAGCCUCCCUUACUUAUAAACUCCUCCAAACUUGAUAGGUGACUCUGAGGAUACCCACUUCCUUGGCCUUGGGAGGGGAACCCUUUCUCUUCUAACAAACAGCCUUUCUGAGUUCCCAUGCCUUCUCUUUCAUCCGUUCCAUGAGUUCCCAUGCCUUCUCUUCCAUUCAUUCCUGACAAACACCUGCAAGCCAGGAUUGUGGCUCUGUCCCUGAGCGGUGGAGUCUUCUUUGAAUCCAGCCCUGGAAAAUGUAGAGCCUUCUCUUUCAUUGGGGAUUACACUAGAUCUGGUGUGAUUUGUGUACCUGAAAAGGUCUGGAGAAGAUCCCAGUCAUAUCAGCUUGUUACCGAAUUGCUACUGAAGCUACAGAAACUACAAGAUAGCAUCUGGUCUUUAUUUGCAAAGAGAAAUUAAUGCAUGAAAAUGCUAAGCUAUGGGAAAGCCCCCAGUGUAAAAUAAUAUCC